UGAAUCCUGAUCAGUUCUCAAUUUUUGGAUCAUAUUGAAUCGAAAAAUAGUGGAUUCAUUAAGAUUGGAUCAGUUCAGGUUGGUCCUCAAGGUACGCAAAAAUUAAUAUAAAAAAUAAAAAUAAAAAGCAUAUGGUUAGCAUUAUUCAGAGCGGGUUUUGAGGUUCGGAAUCUCUUCACGCCACCUAGGGCCGAUCAAACGGUCCAAAAUUUAUGAUGGUCAUGUUAUGACGACUGUAUUACUGAUGCUAUCCCUAAGAAAUUCCUCUGUUUAGCUCAUGCUUAUCUGAAAGCACCAUGGGCCACCUUCAACGAGAAGGCACCAUCUCAAUUAAAAAGCCAUGAAGACAAAAUAGCUACAGCGUGCGUUCUUACGUGUAUCACAUCUCCUCUCUCUCUUUCUCGCGUUUCAAACACGCAACCAUAGCAAAUUUAACACCCUCUUCAUCAUCCGGCAAAAUCAACUAGAACAAGAACAUGGAGAAAUCGAUAAAACUAUAGCGGAGAGCUCAGACCCAUUCAUUAGUUUUUUGAUGAGGAAAUAAAAGGAAGGGGAAAGGCUUUAUUAAUUCAUCAUCAUAUAAUUGCAAAAGGAAACAGAGUCUCCAAGUCUUCUUCGAGCAGAGGUAUCUGAUCCCAACCAUAAGAAAACCCCUUCCGUCCUCUCCUUAUCGAAACCCCUUUGGGU
rnacentral:lncRNA from 1 species